CAAACUCAACCAAACAGAGAAAUACCAAAACUUAAUUGUAGAGGGAUAAAGAGGAUGUACUUGAUUGCAGGUAGGCGAGGAGAAGAACAGCAGUUAUCCGCAAUAUUUAGAGGUUGUAAAAGUUAUGAUGCUGACACUCAUGAAGCUGGAAUCAGAUUGAUAAGUGUGUCAUAGAAGCACGUAGAAUUGGGAAACAGAUCUAGCCAACCCAAUCUUGUAAUAUACAACUACAAUAUCUUCAUACAAUAUGUAUUGUAACUGAAAACUGAAAA
rnacentral:misc_RNA from 1 species